UUUUGAGUCCAUCUGUUUGAUAACCUUUCCUAGUAUAUUCUGAUUGUAUUCGUUUAUUUUAUUUAUUAUAACUUUUCAGGAUGGCAUUCCCAGAAUAUCCGCCUUUGCCUUAUUGAAAAAAGUAGGGAUGGGAAGAGUUAUAGUACAAAUCUGGCAUUUACUCCUCCUGAAUAUAUUAGGACUGGGAGAAUAACACAAGAAAGUGCAAUAUAUAGAUUUGGACUCUCUUGAUUGAUCUUCUCAGCGGAAAGCGUAUCCCCUCUAGCCAUACCUGAUUCGAGACAGAAAUCUUCAGAUGCUGACAGAUUCUUGCUUGGAAGGACAGCUUUCUAAUGAUGAUGGUACUGAGUUGGCACGCUUGGCUUCACUAUGUUUACAAUCUAAACCCCGAGAGCUACCAAAUCUAAAGUCAUUAGUUGCUUCUUUGACUCCUCUUCAGGAAGAAAUUGAGGUUGGUUCUCUCUCCUUUGUUUCUCUUAUUAAGCAUUCUAUUCCCAACUUUACUCGGGGAGCAUAGUUUGACUACUUAAAAUCUUCACACAAUUGUUUGUAGAUCUAUAGUUUAGGGCAGUCUUGUAAGCAAUAUAGUCAUACGUUAUCUUCUUUUCACUGGACACAAUCUCAGCUAUUUGUGUAAGUUCGUAUCCACCGAUUUUUAAUUUGUUGUAAUACUGAACCUUGUACCAAGCGGAAAUUAUUUGAAAAUUUGGGAAAGGGGCAUGACACUAAUUUGUUAUUAGUGAGGACUUGAGAGA